rnacentral:rRNA from 1 species
UUCCGGGUUGAUCCCGCCGGACCCCACUGCUAUCGAGAUGGGACUAAGGUAUGCUAGUCGAACGACCAGAACUAUGUCUGGAAGUGGCACACUGCUCAGUAACACGUAGCUAACCUACCCUUAGGACGUGGAUACCCCCGAGAAAUUGGGGUUAAUCCGCGAUAGGUGUAAUGUCCUGGAAUGGUAUUACGCCUAAAGGUGUAUCAUACAUGUUUGAUAUACGCCUAAGGAUGGGGCUGCGGCCGAUCAGGCUGUUGGUGAGGUAAUGGCUCACCAAACCUUUGACCGGUACGGGCCAUGAGAGUGGUAGCCCGGAGAUGGACACUGAGACAAGGGUCCAGGCCCUAAGGGGCGCAGCAACCGCGAAACCUCCACAAUGCACUCACGUGCGAUGGGGCUAUCUCGAGUGCCACCUGAUGAAGGUGGCUUUUCCUAGGUCUUCAAAGCCUUGGGAAUAAGAGGGGGGCAAGACUGGUGUCAGCCGCCGCGGUAACACCAGCCCCUCGAGUGGUGGGGAUGAUUAUUUGGCCUAAAGCGUCCGUAGCCGGCCGAGCAAGUCUUCCGUUAAAUCCAGCGUCUCAAGCGUUGGACUGCGGGAGAUACUACACGGCUAGAGAGUGGGAGAGGUCAGCGGUAUUCUGGGGGUAGGGGCGAAAUCCUUUGAUCCCCGGAGGACCACCAGUGGCGAAGGCUGCUGACUAGAACACGUCUGACGGUCAGGGACGAAAGCUGGGGUAGCGAACCGGAUUAGAUACCCGGGUAGUCCCAGCCGUAAACGAUGCAUGCUAGGUGUUGGGUUGGCCACGAGCCACCCCAGUGCCGCAGGGAAGCCGUUAAGCAUGCCGCCUGGGAAGUACGAUCGCAAGAUUGAAA